rnacentral:lncRNA from 1 species
UGGUAUUUGGAUGGGGCAAUUCGAUCUCAACACCCGAGAAGGGAUGUAGCAGACUUGUUUCACUCUCAUCUUUCCCGGUUGUGAUUAGCCAUCCCAUAGACUCUAGACAUCGUUUUCCUAUGGCUUUCGGAAUCCUCUUGUUUAAAAUCAUGCCAUUGUAGAGGCUGAAGAAUUUUCUACAGGAAUUGUCUUUAUCCUCUGCUAACAUCAACCACGGAAUUCUAGGCAGGUCACUGUUGAAAUUGUCCUUGGUGGCAGCACAUCGCCAAGAUUUGCAGACGGCCGCAAAAUUAAGGUAGUCCUCGAUCAAAUUUAUACGCUUAACUAUUAGAACCAGCAGAUCAUAUUGAAGCUCAGACCAAUUCGACAUCCUUGUGCUUAAUAUCGGGAAUCCUCCAAAGUUUUUCUGUUUUGGUUGAAAAAUCCACAAACCCUAUAUAUAAUUGAGAGAGAUAUCCCUAUUAUGGUUGGAUUCUGAGGACAGAAACCCACUUCAAAGAGUAACAGGAAUCUAGCCUGAAACUUUCCCAAAGUAAUUAUCGGAUUAUAUUUAUUCUGCGUUCUACUUUUUUAUUAUAUUUGUCCUUACCAUUCAAUUUUAAGUUCAUAUUUACCCAUUGAAUUGUUAAAUUCCACAUCACCACUUUUGUUACACUAAGGGCUCCUACAUGAAUAUAAUCAUCUCUUAAUUUUAAUUAUUAUACUUCACCCGGUGAACUCGAUUUUGUCUCUUGAAUCUUUUCUUCUUCGUUGCAGGAAGCAACCUUCCUCUCCCCGAGGAUCUCUUCCUUAAGCAAAUCCAAUGUAGAUCAAACUACAAAAUUCAUUUUUUUUAUUUGCACCUUUAUCAAACAAAGAUUACUCUUUACACUCCUAAAAUACUCAAGUUAAAGCAGAUAACAAGAUCCAAAAAUAUGCAUUUUGGUUAUGAAAUUAUACAAAUUCAAGCAAGAAGAGUGAAUUCAACUCAUUUGAUGCUUGUUUAGACGGAAAUGUUGUUCUAACGAAGUUUGGUAUCUUCUUCGAAUUGAAAAAAUUAUUUUUAACUUGGAUUUCACCAUAGUUGUAAGAGGAGUGUUAUAUUGUGAGCUGAGUCCCAAUUUUAUAACCACUUUACAUGGAAAUUGAUUAGAAAAAGCAUAUAGUGAUUCGAAUUUGUACACAAACAACAAUACUCUCAUUUAAAAACAUGAUGAAACUGGCAAUCUCACUCUUCAUCCACAAAAUCUUCUACUGAGCUUCCAUAGAUUACGUAUUCUUAUCAUAUAAUUUUUGAUUUCUUUCAACAAAAUCCACAAUCCCAUCCCCAAUUAUUUUUUUUUUAAAAUGUCAGCCCCUUUUUCAAAAGUUCUCUUAUUGAAAAACUUGGUUCUGAAAUUAAAGGUAUCGAUAAAGUUUAUUACUCAAAACAUGACUUUUAAGAGGAAGAUAAAAUUCAUAGACACCAUAGAUGAAUGAUACCAUUUGUUCUAAGAAAAUCAAUCUAAAAAGAAGUUGUAUUUGAUAUUUGAGAUUGCAAGGAAUGCUGAAAAGCCAAAUAACAACAAUAAGUCUUAUGUGAGCCAGUUUCUCAACAUCAGCUUCAAGCAUCAUACAUAAAUUAGGAUAGACGGUAGAGCAUGAGCAUCAGAUGACUUGUUCUCUCUUUAUUUCCCUCUUUUCUGCUAACCAAUUUCAGUUCCGAACUUAUAAUAAAUCUAAACAUAUAUAACUUACGGUGCUCAACAAGAGAAAAGGGUUUUGCAUAAAAAUAAAUUAUGAAACAUUCUCCAAAUACAAAUAUAUAAUAUAAAAUAAAAAAGGAAGCAAUACGGAUCAAUACAGGGUUGGAGUGACCCAAAUUGGUGGACAAACACGACUGAGAGAAACACCGUUGUAGUGAGGCUCGAAGCUGCCAUUUGCUAUGUUAUAAACACCCAUAUCCCUGCCACCCCCUUCUUCAUAGAAGAGGUAUGAUUCCACAAAAUCAUCAGUAUAAUAAAUAUGAUUGGGCUUGACUCCUGGAAAUUGAGAAGCUUGUACUGAGAUAGAUGCAUUAGCACCCAAAAAAAGAGCUCUGUCCCCUACUUGCUUGGUUUCCCUCAAUUCCCCAGCGGCUAAAUCGACCUCAAAAACUCCAAAAUUUGUUGUCCCAUAAGUUUCUGUACCAUCAUUGGGAUAUAUUGGUGUUAAUGAAAUCCUCCUGCUGCUAUCUUCUCUGAUGGGCGGCCUACUUUUUACACCGUAUCGCACAACUACAAAUAAUGAUCCAAUUGAUUCUAGGAUAUAGAACUCGUCUCCCAUGUGAUGGGGUGGUAAGAUGGCUACUAUUUGAGUGUGAAUAGGACUAGAACCAGUAACAUCAUAGACUAACACACGGCCAUUCCAAUCAACUGCAUAAAAAUUUUCAGUAUAAUAGACCAGAUCACGAUGCAUAUGUUUAUAGGGAGAGUUUAUGUUGUCAAUCCUUGUCCAUCUCAAAUCUCCUGGCCUCCAAAAACUGAAGAAUUUCCUAUUUCCGUCAAUCACAGCGAGAAUGUAGCUCGAUGUAUGAGAAGGACUAGCCGAUAAAACUGCCUUGUGAAAAAAAGUCCAUGGAUAGCCUACCUCAUGGUCUUCAUAAUUUUUGGUGGUAUUUGGAUGGGGCAACUCGAUCUCAACACCCGAGAAGGGAUGUAGCAGACUUGUUUCAUUCUCAUCUUUCCCGGUUGUGAUUAGCCAUCCCAUAGACUCUAGACAUCGUUUUCCUAUGGCUUUCGGAAUCCUCUUGUUUAAAACCAUGCCAUUGUGGAGGCUGAAGAAUUUUCGACAGGAAUUGUCUUUAUCCUCCUCAUCCUCUGCUAACAUCAACCACGGAAUUCUAGGCACGUCACUGUUGAAAUUGUCCUUGGUGGCGGCACAUUGCCAAGAUUUGCAGACGGCCCCAAA